rnacentral:rRNA from 1 species
AGAAUCAACGCUGGCGGCGUGCCUAACACAUGCAAGUCGAACGAGAAAAUGGUAGCAAUACCAUGAGUAAAGUGGCGCACGGGUGAGUAACACGUGACUAACCUACCCUUGAGUGGGGGAUAACUGAGGGAAACCUUAGCUAAUACCGCAUAAUACCCACGGGUCAAAGGAGCAAUUCGCUCGAGGAGGGGGUCGCGGCCGAUUAGUUAGUUGGCGGGGUAAUGGCCCACCAAGACGAUGAUCGGUAUCCGGCCUGAGAGGGCGCACGGACACACUGGAACUGAAACACGGUCCAGACUCCUACGGGAGGCAGCAGUGGGAAUUUUGCGCAAUGGGGGAAACCCUGACGCAGCAACGCCGCGUGGAGGAUGAAGACCUUCGGGUCGUAAAGCACUUUCGACGGGGAUGAUGAUGACGGUACCGUAGAAGAAGCCCGGCUAACUUCGCGCCAGCAGCCGC